rnacentral:rRNA from 1 species
GAUGAACGCUAGCGGCAGGCUUAAUACAUGCAAGUCGAGGGGCAGCAUGAGUGUAGCAAUACAUUUGAUGGCGACCGGCAAACGGGUGCGGAACACGUACAGAACCUUCCUUCGAGCGGGGAAUAGCCCAGAGAAAUUUGGAUUAAUACCCCAUAGUAAAUUGAAAAGGCAUCUUUUUAAUUUUAAAGAUUUAUCACUUGAAGAUGGCUGUGCGGCUGAUUAGGUAGUUGGUGGGGUAACGGCCCACCAAGCCUACGAUCAGUAACUGGUGUGAGAGCACGACCAGUCACACGGGCACUGAGACACGGGCCCGACUCCUACGGGAGGCAGCAGUAAGGAAUAUUGGUCAAUGGACGCAAGUCUGAACCAGCCAUGCCGCGUGGAGGAUGAAGGUCCUCUGGAUUGUAAACUUCUUUUAUCUGGGACGAAAAAGGGGCUUUCUAGCUCAACUGACGGUACCAGAUGAAUAAGCACCGGCUAACUCUGUGCCAGCAGCCGCCGUAAGAC